AACCUAGCACACCUGCGGUGUGUACCUGCGGAGGGAUCAUUACCUAGAGUUGUAGGCUUUGCCUGCUAUCUCUUACCCAUGUCUUUUGAGUACCUUACGUUUCCACGGUGGGCUCGCCCACCGAUUGGACAAAUUUAAACCCUUUGCAGUUGAAAUCAGCGUCUGAAAAAACUUAAUAGUUACAACUUUUAACAACGGAUCU
rnacentral:misc_RNA from 1 species